rnacentral:snRNA from 1 species
AUUGCUUUUCGGCUUUUUGGCUAAGAUCAGUGUGUUCUUAUCAGUUGGAUAUUUGUAUACGUUCUCUAUCCCAGAACAACAUGUUAAGUGGGUUUUUGGAGCGGAGAAGUGGCAUAGGAGCUUGCUCCGUCCGUUCUACGAAUCGACCUGCUGUUGCAAUAUUUUCAAGAACGGUGCACCGCUU